rnacentral:lncRNA from 1 species
AAGGAGGAACAGAGGAAGCAACCAUACAUCUUUUGGUUUUUAAGAGAGAGCGCUCUGAAGUUUUAGUUUCAAUAAGCAAAGUAAAUUUAGUUAAAGAUUAAUAAUAUUCCAAUCAUUUUUUUCUUUUUGCACUAAUUGAGAAUAAAUUUUUAUGUGUACACGGUGAAAUCGGCAGGAUUGGUUUUGCUGGAACUUAUAGUAAAUACUAGAAAGUCCGCUUUUUUGGAAUAUUAGAAGCCCAUGAUUUCAAAAAAAUUAUUUUGGUAAAAAAGCAUUAACUUCUUUUCCUACAUAAACCAUGGGUCUAAAUACCAUAAAAGUGAGCCUAUAGAUAUUUGCAAUUUGUUCCACCAAAACUGACCUCGUGAUUCCAUCGUGUACACACAAAAUUUUCUUUGAUUAGUAUAUCAGGCGGUAUAUGAUUGAAAAGAUUAUUAAUUUGUAGCCAUGCUUGUAUCCCAUAGUAAUUUUUUAUUCAAAAAUCAAUAUAGUUUUUGCAUUCAUAUUUCAUUAUUUAAAAAAACAAUUUAGAUCGAUUGAAUUAACUUGAUCAAUUAAUCUUUAUGUUGUUUUAAAAAUCAUUUGAAUGUAUUUUUGUAAUUUUUGAGUAAACAAUGCAUCCGAGUUUACAUUCAAAUUUGUUGUUUGUAACAAGUUACAUCAAUUCAACUAACCUAAUGAAGUAAUCCUUUUACUAUUUUUGUUUUGUUUUAGUCAUUUGAUGUUUUUUUUUCUAUAAAACUUUAUCACAGCUUAUUUAUUUGUUUUUAAUUAAAAUUUUCAACGCUUAUUUAUGAUUAAUUACUUCACUUUUGGUCAUGGGUACCAAUUCUUCUGGGUAGCAAAUGUAAAUUUUCAAUCCAACUUCUGUUAAGUUUAAGUUCAAGUUCUUCACUUUUACAUUUUAGAGUUUUUUGUCAAUCUCCCUUUUUUUUAUUAACUAUAAAAACUAUCAAUUAAAAUUGGUUUUUAGCUUGAAAAUCCUUCUGAAGAGAUUUGGUUAUAUUUUUUUUCAGAGUGUACCGAGACCAAAUGGCUGCGGCGCAUCAAGGCACUUCUUCGACGGUCUCCGUUAUUAAAACAAAAAAAAAUCAAUUUGGUUUACGGUCAAAAAUAUAUUAAUCUUAGUAUGGUUGAAUUUCAUUAUCCAUUCUUAU